rnacentral:rRNA from 1 species
AUACGUAGGGAGCGAGCGUUGUCCGGAUUUAUUGGGCAUAAAGGGUGCGCAGGCGGGUGGUUAAGUCGGCUGUGAAAUUUUGCGGCUCAACUCCAAAAAAGCCGUCGAAACUGGUUUCCUUGAGUGUAGUUGAGGUAGGCGGAAUUCCUGGUGUAGCGGUGAAAUGCUUAGAUAUCACGAAGAACUCCAAUUGCGAAGGCAGCUCGCUGGGGUACAACUGACACUGAGGCUCGAAAGUGUGGGUAUCAAACAGGAUUAGAUACCCUGGUAGUCCACACAGUAAACGAUGAAUACUCGCUGUUUGCGAUAUACAGUAAGCGGCCAAGCGAAAGCAUUAAGUAUUCCACCUGGGGAGUACGCCGGCAACGGUGAAACUCAAAUGAAUUGACGGGG